GGCGCGGUGGAGAAGUGGUUACCUCAUGGGGCUCAUAUCCCCAGGACCUGGGUUCAAAUCCCAGCUGCGCUA
rnacentral:tRNA from 1 species